GUAAAGUCUUUUGUCUAGGCAUCAAGUUUCUCUUCAACACAUGCUGUGUCCAGUCUGGUGUUUCAGAGAUGUGUGUCUGACAGCCCUCGCUGGAAGAAGUCCCCAGACAAGUCAGGACUGCUAUGAUGCCAUCACUCACCUGAGCUGAUCCAGCCCGUGUUGUUACAGAACUUCAAAGCCAUGGACAGAUGCUGAGCCUGCAGAAAUGAAGCAGAGGGAGGAAGACACUGAAGAAGAUGAGGAGUAAUGAGAGAAUGACGAGAUGUAGAGUACUAUGAAAGAGAUCUCCUCCGUGGGACUCGAGGUGUCGCUCAUCUCCAAUCACUCCACUGGCCUCGACCCAUUCCAAUGGCUCUCGGCCCCGCCCCACUCGUCAGAAUUAUUAUUUAUUAUAGCUCAUUACUAUUUAUUUAUCCAUCUCUCUCUAACUAUUCCAUGAUGGAGUCCCUUGCAAUUUGCAGACACUCAUUGUAAAAAAAAAAAAAAAAACUAUUAACAAGAUUUCAUCCUGGCUGUGGGGUCUCAGGGAAUUCUAUCAAUAGUCACAAAUAAAACUGAAAUGAAGCAUUUAAUCUUUAAAAUG
ensembl:lncRNA